rnacentral:rRNA from 1 species
AACCAACGCUGGCGGCGUGCCUAAUACAUGCAAGUCGAACGGGGAAAGCUUUCGGGUGAGUACUAGUGGCGCACGGGUGAGGAACGCGUGGAUAAUCUGCCUUAGAGUGGGGGAUAACUAGUCGAAAGAUUAGCUAAUACCGCAUAAGACCACGAGAGCUGCGGCUUUUGAGGUCAAAGGUUUUUCGCUCUAAGAUGAGUCCGCGUAAGAUUAGCUAGUUGGUGAGGUAACGGCUCACCAAGGCGACGAUCUUUAACUGGUCUGAGAGGAUGAUCAGUCACACUGGAACUGAGACACGGUCCAGACUCCUACGGGAGGCAGCAGUAGGGAAUAUUGCACAAUGGAGGAAACUCUGAUGCAGCGACGCCGCGUGAGUGAUGAAGGCAUUCGGGUCGUAAAGCUCUGUCGCAGGGGAAUAACACAAUGAAGGUACCCUGUAAGAAAGGAUCGGCUAACUUCGUG